UACGUAGGGGGCUAGCGUUGUCCGGAAUCAUUGGGCGUAAAGAGCGUGUAGGCGGUCCGGUAAGUCCGCUGUGAAAGUCGGGGGCUCAACCCUCGAAUGCCGGUGGAUACUGUCGGGCUAGAGUGCGGAAGAGGCGAGUGGAAUUCCUGGGUGAUAGCGGUGGAAAUGACGCAGAUAUCAGGAGGAACACCUAUUGCGAAGGCAGCUCACUGGACGGUAUUGACGCUGAGACGCGAAAGCGUGGGGAGCAAACAGG
rnacentral:rRNA from 1 species